AACUGGGAGUGAUGAUCUCACAGACUAGAGUCUCUGACACUGGUCCUGAUGUCAAGCUUAAGUUCUGACUCAUUUAGGAGACUGGAUACUUGGCUUCCUGGGGGGCACAAGGGAGAGCCAUGGUUCUCAUUCUUAGUAAUUCUACUUGUGUCUUUCUAGGAUGAGAGCUCUGGGACCCCAGCUGGGGUAGUGUCCCUUCAUGCAAGUUUUGGAGCUAGCCCAUUAGUCAUACAGACAGGCCUGGCUAUGUGAUGAUUCCUGCUGCUGCUUCAUCCUUGGGCUGUGACGGGUGGAGAGGAAGCCCUUCCUGCGGCAGCAUUGCAGAAUUUGGCUGACAAGGAUGUCUUCUCGUGUGGAAUAGAUCUUCAGAACUGAAGCCUUCUGGGUGUUUCCUGAGUGGUUAUCAACAAAUGCAAAAAUACUGGAAAGAAAUUCUGAGGCCCAAACAUGCCAAGUAGAAAGCUUGAUUUUUGUUUCGUGCAAGUACCUAAUUAAAGAUUUCAAUAAAACUAUUUGAAGUAAA